rnacentral:lncRNA from 1 species
UGGGAAACUGAAAGCAGGUGGAGAUGGUAAAAAUGGAAUUGAUGGUGGAGAUGGUAAAAGUGGAAUUGAUGGUGGUGAUGGCAAUAGUGGUAUUGAAGGUGGAGAUGGCAAUAGUGGUAUUGAAGGUGGAGAUGGCAAUAGUGGUAUUGAAGGUGGAGAUGGCAAUAGUGGUAUUGAUGGUGGAGAUGGUAAAAAUGGUGGAUAAAGGAAGAAGAAACUUGGGUUUACUGGUUUCUCUGUCUUUUCAGU